GUGGGUAUAGCUCAGUGGCAGAGCGCAUGCUUUAGCAUGCACAAGUCCUGGGUUCAAUUCCCAGUAUCUCCA
rnacentral:tRNA from 1 species